GGUUCUUACUGAUGCAGAGCAUCCCUGAGCUGCGUUCUCCGCGUCCUCAGGACCCACCCUUCCUCUAGGGGACAAACAGUUGUGAACGACUAGCAAAGACACUGAGUACUGCGGUGGCUUCAGUUUGUGGUUUUUUGCGGAUACCCAUGCCCUAAGCAAUGCCUUAAUCCGUUUAAGCAACGCCUUAAAGAUUGCUUCACUUGUUUUAUUACACAGUAGUUCUCGGAGACUUCUGCCUUGAACAGGAGUGGGCGCCAUAGCAGGAUAGUUCGGGUGGAGAACGGUGGGCCUUUUGGUACCUCUGCGGCAUGUGGGAGUGUCGGCUGUGCCCGUGCGUAAGGUUCAUCCUGCUUUCAAACGGAGCACCUGGCUUAAAUCAGCCCCCUCUCCCGCGUCCUACGCUUUCUCCUGACCCCCUUUGGAUGCGGAGCCGAAGUUCACGCGCUCUUUGAGAUCAGCCUCGUGCCGUACCCUCAGCGUGCCUGGCCCACACUUGUGCAGGAUUGUGCGGAAGCAGAGAAGCGGGACGGGGGGAGAAAUGGCAGUUUGCAGUCUGGCUGACUUCACGGGCUACUGACAGCCUUCCUUACUGGCUGACGAAGUUGGUUACUUUUAUUCUAUGACCUCAACAACAUGGUUUUCAUCAGCUCCCCUUUAUCCUGUUAAGGUAAGGCUAUUUCUCUCACAGGUUAUUUUGUACCUUAGGGAACCAGGAUUCCAGAGCUGAGAGAAGCUGGAGAAUCUGUCAGGAGGCUUUGAAAAUACAAAUAUCUGGCCUCAUCCUACUGAAUCAGAAUCUGUGCCAUUUUUUCAACUAUUGUUUUUAAAGAGCUCCCCUGGCGACUAGCUCCAACGCAUGUUAUCUCAGAGAGCAGAGAAUUUUAUUAAUUUUACUUUUCAUGAGAACCUCCGGAGAAAGAUAAUCUUGCAGCCCACGUGCCAAUGUUCAACUCUCCUUCCUAUCGAGAGAUAACUUCCUUGUGGCUCAAUUAAAUCCUCAUCCUGUACUUAAGCUUAUUUGUCCCUGUUUCUCCUUAGUGCAGAGAUAAUACCUAGUACUACCUUUCAUUUGUAUAUUGCUUGGAGUUUAGUUUGCAAAGGAUUUUCUCAUUUGAGAUUAAAAAAAAAACAACUGAGUUCAUCCCUCACGUUCCCUUUCCAGGAUAAACGAUCACCUCCCUCUCCUGCACACACCCCACGCUUUUCCCACAUACCACUCAGCACAGUGUCUGGAACAUAAAUCCUCAAUGGAUAUUGUACCUAUCCUUAUUCAUUUUUUGCCUUAAAAAAUAUUUCGUAAGUGUUUCUCAGCGUCUGGAGUCUAGAAUGAGAGGUGGGCUGGUCAGUGUGGAGUAUGUGAGGAUUUUGUUCGGUUGAUGGAAAGAUUCUUAUACCCUUUCAGAUCUGGUGCGCAGAUAGAUAAAAUCUGGUGACUGUGCCAUUGGGAACUGGACGUUUUAUCAUAUCUUUUAAAUCCAUUAUUUUUAACAAACUGUGAAUGAAAUCAUAAAUUCUUAUAAAAGCCUUUCAUUUCCUAAGAGGUGUUAGUUAUCCAGCUGAUAAUAGUUUGAUGAGAGCAUUGCCCCCUCCUCACAAAUGCUGAGUGUCCUUUAUAGGAGGGAGGGGGGGCCGGUCAUGGACCUUUGUGCCUUUUGUCAUAUUUUAAC